rnacentral:rRNA from 1 species
UUAAGCGACUAAGCGUACACGGUGGAUGCCCUGGCAGUCAGAGGCGAUGAAGGACGUGCUAAUCUGCGAUAAGCGUCGGUGAGGUGAUAUGAACCGUUAUAACCGGCGAUUUCCGAAUGGGGAAACCCAGUGUGUUUCGACACACUAUCAUUAACUGAAUCCAUAGGUUAAUGAGGCGAACCGGGGGAACUGAAACAUCUAAGUACCCCGAGGAAAAGAAAUCAACCGAGAUUCCCCCAGUAGCGGCGAGCGAACGGGGAGGAGCCCAGAGCCUGAAUCAGUGUGUGUGUUAGUGGAAGCGUCUGGAAAGGCGCGCGAUACAGGGUGACAGCCCCGUACACAAAAAUGCACAUACUGUGAGCUCGAUGAGUAGGGCGGGACACGUGGUAUCCUGUCUGAAUAUGGGGGGACCAUCCUCCAAGGCUAAAUACUCCUGACUGACCGAUAGUGAACCAGUACCGUGAGGGAAAGGCGAAAAGAACCCCGGCGAGGGGAGUGAAAAAGAACCUGAAACCGUGUACGUACAAGCAGUGGGAGCCUCUUAAUGGGGUGACUGCGUACCUUUUGUAUAAUGGGUCAGCGACUUAUAUUCUGUAGCAAGGUUAACCGAAUAGGGGAGCCGAAGGGAAACCGAGUCUUAACUGGGCGUUAAGUUGCAGGGUAUAGACCCGAAACCCGGUGAUCUAGCCAUGGGCAGGUUGAAGGUUGGGUAACACUAACUGGAGGACCGAACCGACUAAUGUUGAAAAAUUAGCGGAUGACUUGUGGCUGGGGGUGAAAGGCCAAUCAAACCGGGAGAUAGCUGGUUCUCCCCGAAAGCUAUUUAGGUAGCGCCUCGUGAAUUCAUCUCCGGGGGUAGAGCACUGUUUCGGCAAGGGGGUCAUCCCGACUUACCAACCCGAUGCAAACUGCGAAUACCGGAGAAUGUUAUCACGGGAGACACACGGCGGGUGCUAACGUCCGUCGUGAAGAGGGAAACAACCCAGACCGCCAGCUAAGGUCCCAAAGUCAUGGUUAAGUGGGAAACGAUGUGGGAAGGCCCAGACAGCCAGGAUGUUGGCUUAGAAGCAGCCAUCAUUUAAAGAAAGCGUAAUAGCUCACUGGUCGAGUCGGCCUGCGCGGAAGAUGUAACGGGGCUAAACCAUGCACCGAAGCUGCGGCAGCGACACUAUGUGUUGUUGGGUAGGGGAGCGUUCUGUAAGCCUGUGAAGGUGUACUGUGAGGUAUGCUGGAGGUAUCAGAAGUGCGAAUGCUGACAUAAGUAACGAUAAAGCGGGUGAAAAGCCCGCUCGCCGGAAGACCAAGGGUUCCUGUCCAACGUUAAUCGGGGCAGGGUGAGUCGACCCCUAAGGCGAGGCCGAAAGGCGUAGUCGAUGGGAAACAGGUUAAUAUUCCUGUACUUGGUGUUACUGCGAAGGGGGGACGGAGAAGGCUAUGUUGGCCGGGCGACGGUUGUCCCGGUUUAAGCGUGUAGGCUGGUUUUCCAGGCAAAUCCGGAAAAUCAAGGCUGAGGCGUGAUGACGAGGCACUACGGUGCUGAAGCGACAAAUGCCCUGCUUCCAGGAAAAGCCUCUAAGCAUCAGGUAACAUCAAAUCGUACCCCAAACCGACACAGGUGGUCAGGUAGAGAAUACCAAGGCGCUUGAGAGAACUCGGGUGAAGGAACUAGGCAAAAUGGUGCCGUAACUUCGGGAGAAGGCACGCUGAUAUGUAGGUGAAGCGACUUGCUCGUGGAGCUGAAAUCAGUCGAAGAUACCAGCUGGCUGCAACUGUUUAUUAAAAACACAGCACUGUGCAAACACGAAAGUGGACGUAUACGGUGUGACGCCUGCCCGGUGCCGGAAGGUUAAUUGAUGGGGUUAGCGGUAACGCGAAGCUCUUGAUCGAAGCCCCGGUAAACGGCGGCCGUAACUAUAACGGUCCUAAGGUAGCGAAAUUCCUUGUCGGGUAAGUUCCGACCUGCACGAAUGGCGUAAUGAUGGCCAGGCUGUCUCCACCCGAGACUCAGUGAAAUUGAACUCGCUGUGAAGAUGCAGUGUACCCGCGGCAAGACGGAAAGACCCCGUGAACCUUUACUAUAGCUUGACACUGAACAUUGAGCCUUGAUGUGUAGGAUAGGUGGGAGGCUUUGAAGUGUGGACGCCAGUCUGCAUGGAGCCGACCUUGAAAUACCACCCUUUAAUGUUUGAUGUUCUAACGUGGGCCCCUUACCGGGGUUGCGGACAGUGUCUGGUGGGUAGUUUGACUGGGGCGGUCUCCUCCUAAAGAGUAACGGAGGAGCACGAAGGUUGGCUAAUCCUGGUCGGACAUCAGGAGGUUAGUGCAAUGGCAUAAGCCAGCUUGACUGCGAGCGUGACGGCGCGAGCAGGUGCGAAAGCAGGUCAUAGUGAUCCGGUGGUUCUGAAUGGAAGGGCCAUCGCUCAACGGAUAAAAGGUACUCCGGGGAUAACAGGCUGAUACCGCCCAAGAGUUCAUAUCGACGGCGGUGUUUGGCACCUCGAUGUCGGCUCAUCACAUCCUGGGGCUGAAGUAGGUCCCAAGGGUAUGGCUGUUCGCCAUUUAAAGUGGUACGCGAGCUGGGUUUAGAACGUCGUGAGACAGUUCGGUCCCUAUCUGCCGUGGGCGCUGGAGAACUGAGGGGGGCUGCUCCUAGUACGAGAGGACCGGAGUGGACGCAUCACUGGUGUUCGGGUUGUCAUGCCAAUGGCACUGCCCGGUAGCUAAAUGCGGAAGAGAUAAGUGCUGAAAGCAUCUAAGCACGAAACUUGCCCCGAGAUGAGUUCUCCCUGACUCCUUGAGAGUCCUGAAGGAACGUUGAAGACGACGACGUUGAUAGGCCGGGUGUGUAAGCGCAGCGAUGCGUUGAGCUAA